rnacentral:rRNA from 1 species
GAGUUUGAUCUUGGCUCAGGAUGAACGCUAGCGGCAGGCAUAAUACAUGCAAGUUGAACGGGAUUCAGGUAGCAAUACUUGAUGAGAGUGGCGCACGGGUGCGUAACACGUAUGCAACCUACCUCUAACCGGGGAAUAGCCUCCUGAAAGGGAGAUUAAUACCCCAUAACAUUGCAGAAUGGCAUCAUUCAGCAAUUAAAGAUCCGUCGGUUAGAGAUGGGCAUGCGCAACAUUAGCUUGUUGGUAAGGUAAUGGCUUACCAAGGCUACGAUGUUUAGGGGGUCUGAGAGGAUGUCCCCCCACACUGGUACUGAGACACGGACCAGACUCCUACGGGAGGCAGCAGUAGGGAAUAUUGGUCAAUGGGCGCAAGCCUGAACCAGCCAUGCCGCGUGAAGGAUGAAGGCCCUCUGGGUUGUAAACUUCUUUUCUACGGGAAUAAACCUCUGAUCGUGAUCGGAGCUGAAGGUACCGU